GUAGAAAGUGGAUGUAGAGUUCUGCAAGCUCACACUGUGAGAGCAUCCUUCACAUCCCAAAGGCCUGUUAUCCUGGGAAAGGGUCAGACAAGCUUCGACAGCUGGCCUCAAAGCUUGAAGUCAAUGGAAUAGACUGGUACUUCAAAGAAGUGGACCACUGUUUUCUACAAGAAAAAAACACCUCAGCGUUUUUUAUGCUGCCCAAUGCUGGAAUGUUAUGUUGGAAAGGUGUGUGAUAUGGUUAAGAUCAAAUCAGUCCAAGAUUUUUUAAAGUGGCAAUAUAUGUCCCGACAGACUGAAAUCUAAUGCCUUGCAGAGUCAAUAAGUCCAAACUUUCAAUCUGUUUUCUCUGAGCCUGGAUUCUACUCUGUCCACACAUACAUUGGAUGUGUUAUGCUAUGAAUAUGAAUGUUGUGUAUUUUACCACUUAGUCCCAUGUGUCAUGGUGCCACCCUGGAAGAUUGUGAAGCCUUAUGGGCAAAAACCUACUACCUAGAAGAGGUAGGUUACUGAUAGGAAGAGCAUAGACAAUACGGAGCACCACCGCUUACAUGCAGUUUUCUCUCUCCUGGACCACGGAAAUAACAAAUGCACAUACGCUCGAAACUUCUUGAGAAGUUCACUCCAAAUUCAGAUGUCCAGCAUGAGGCGAAAACAGAACGCAGAAUAUGUAAGGGAUAAAUGAACCACAGGCAUGCAGCCAAAUGCUCCUAAAAAUGUCCUGGGUGAUGAGUAUUAAUGCAACCCACAAGAGAGUCAUCGGUUUUGAAGAGAAAAACAGCUGAAAUCUGAUGAAGCCACACACACAUUGUUUGGAAUAAACAAUGAGCAGCACGUACAUUUUACCAGCUUGUUUGGAUACAAGUCUACCGUUAGGCACGGUGAUAGUAAGUAGAGAGAUGCGGUGGGAGCCCCUCCCCAUAACUCCUCGCCACGAUUUGAAGACAUUAUGCACUUAGAUAUUUCUAUAAGAGGGAUUUAUGAUUUAUUUGUGUAUAGAGAAGCUACAGGAAAAGAGAAAGGGAAGCAAGGCCUGCUGGUUCUACUUACGGACAAGGAAACUUAAAUUGUCAGAUUGCUUAACUGAGCUCUCCAAGUCUGCCCGAAGUGAAGAACAGACUUCGGAUAUAAUCCACAAAGCCCGGGCCUCUAAACAAAACCAGUGACUGAAUGCCCACUUCAAGUUGGCACAGAGAGGCUCCAAGGUUGAGAGUCUGCAGCUUUAAAUUCUCUAAAGAAAAAAAAAAACCCUUUCAAAAAUAUAGUUACAGCGCACUAAUUAACGUGUUCCGACAUCCCUCCACUUCAGUCACCUCGAGAGUCUAAAAUUGUUACUGCCACUUAGCCUGGCUUGGCAGUCCUCGCCCCUCAGAAUGGAGCCCUGGUGGUCUUUCUGACAAGCUAAAACAGAGACAUACUUCUGCAGACAUGAAAGAUCCCUUCUGUGAACUGUGUUGAACACUCGGUGUUUUAUUAAAUGGUCUGGGAUUUUUUUCUCUACAUAUCUCUUCUUUCCCAGACACAGUCAACCUUUUUUUUUUCUUUUAAAUCAAGGCCACUUUCCAGAGUCAUUACCCAUCACAAAUUCUAUAAUUUUAAAUGAGCGGUUUUUUUCCCUGUAAUUCAAAAGAUAACUCAUUCCUAUUUCCAACAUUUAAUGUAUUUUUUUCUCUUCUUUUUUUUUCCCUGAAAGCAAUAUACGUGUGUAAUUAAUAAACAAUUUAGUGUGUUGAGGAACCUAGGAAGUUGGCAAAUGUUCUGGGGAUAUGAAAUCUCAAGAAAAGCAGCACAUUAUAAGAAAUACUAAGUAAUUACUUAUGUAAGCUUUCUUUUUAAAUUCUAAGAACAUUAACUACUAAUUACCUACUAAUUACCAGUACUUCAGCAGGUGUUUGCACUUAACUGUAGGCUAAAGCCCCUGUGAAAAACAAGCGCCUCACAGCCUCUCUCUAGAGCACAGCCAGUCCCGCUGGACCAGAAGCACACCACGGGCUCCGCAGCGCUGGUCACAAGCCAAUGCCUGCACCAUUUGGCUGCCUCAGGUGACAAAGCCAAGCCGGGUCUGUCUGUUUCCCUUUGUCUUCUCUCCAAACGCUACCAUUAUCGAGGAGUGAGGAAAGAUUCCGGUGAUAGCAUCCAGGUAUCUGGGGUUGCACACAAACUAUGAUGAAGAGGCCUUUGUCAGGAAGACAUCCUUCUCACUUCCGGUGAAGCUGUCUUGUGUGGCCGCCUGGCUGGGGCAGUCUUGCCUCCUUCCAGUGUUUCCUCUGGAAAGGAGUGUGCGUUUAGUCCAUCGUAUUUAUCUAGCUUUGAAAAUGAUCGUGAGUCUCCCUUCCAACUGAAAAAGGGAUUCUUCGACUCUACCCUUCUCAGAGCUCUAGAAAUUAAAGGCGUUCCAUAUUUACCAAGGGCUGGGAGGGUCAGGUCCCUCUGCACACAGUGCCAGCUCUCGGCCCAGACCUGAGCAUUGCGUGACUUACCAGAGUCAAGAGUUAGGUUUUUUCCCCCCGACUCCGUGUUCCUUUCCGUUUUUCUUUUUUCCCCCUUUCUUUUAUGUGUUUUUUGGUUCCUUGGUUUUGUUUGGUCCUCUGAGGCAGGCACUUUCUAUGCAGCCAAGCCUGGACUCAAACUGGAGGUCUCUUAGCUCCUGCCUGCCCAGUUCUGGAGUUACAGUUAUACACCACCAGCCUGUGUGCCCACGCCUAAACAGCUACUCCUUUAGGACACUUCAAAGAUGCCUCUGCCGUUCCUUGCUUCGACUGGAAAGGGAUGCGGGAACGCACGAUCUCACCGGAAAUCCACCAGACGGUGUUCAGUCCUGCCAGGACCAUCUUCCAGAGCACUCCCUGCCUCAUGCUUCAGUUUCCUGCGGCUACCAUAAGGAAUUACCAUGGCCUGCGGCUUACAGCCACAGAGAUGUAUCCUCGCACAGUUAUGGAGAUCAGAAUUAUGAAAUCAAGAUGUCAGUGGGGAUUCUGGGAAAGAGUCUGUCUUCCACUAGCUUCCAAGCAGUGCUUGGCUGGUGCCUGCAUUUGUAGCACCUUCUUUCAACUUCAGUCUAAUGCUCCACGACGCCUUCUGAAAGAUACAUGUCAUUAGAUUCAGCGUCCACCCAGAUAAUCUAGGCUGCUCUCAGUUUCAGAUCCUUAAGUUAAUGGCAUAUGCAUAGACAUCUUUUCCAACUGAGAUCAUAGUAGCAGAUUUGAAGGAUUUAGAUAUGGACAUUUCUACAGAGGUCAUCACCACCAGACUACUGUCUCUGUAAGUGAUCUUUAAUGUGUUCAUUUAUUCAAUUUUAUCAAAACUUGUGCUGUUUCAGAUGGAGAUUGUUGUAACAAGAUCAACUAGGCCUUUAUUCUCACAGAGUUUAUCUAUGAUCUCCCAACCAACAUCAUCUAUUUUGUCUACUACCCAGUUUAGAAAUACAUCCAUCCUUAGAUGCUAUGAUCCAGUACAGGCACUCAAACACAUAACUCUUCGAAAAUCUGGUGAAAUCAUAGCACGUGUGCAUGUUGGGGAAACAAGGGAUGCGUGUGAAAAGCUUCAAGCUUUCAGAAGAACAAGAAAGAACCACACAGAUGUGUAAAUUUUAUAAAACCAUUGUGUAUUGUAAUUGAAAUGCCAAAACAGUGAAGAAUCCAAUGUUGGUGAGGAGACAGACAUUAGUGUAAUGGGCAUCGGCUCUGUCUUUGUCAGCUGGACGUCUUUUAUGUAUCGCAAGCUGUCCCUUUCUAUCAAAUUUCCACUAAUUGUAGAAGUUUAUUAAAACUAAAUAUGAGUGCACAGCUUUUCCUUUCCCAGCAUUCAGGUGUUCUUGUCAUUAAAAACCAUGACUCACUCCACCCUGUUCCACAGUCCUGAGUGCUCUGAAAUGAGGAAAGAGAUGAACCAACCCAGUAGGUGUUAGGAGGAAUGGAGACAACAGUGUUGGAAGACAAUUGUUAGGGGUUAAGAUUGUGUGUGACCACAGACAUUAGUCAGAGAGUAGGCAAGCCAAGGAGUAAGUAAGACAUGGUCUGAUCAUGGCCAGGGAGAAGCAGGAAGGCAGAUUGAACUGCAGUGUGUCUCUAAUGGAGAACUAUUUUCCAGUUAAAGGAAGAAAACAUAAAUUAGUCAUCUGUUGCACAUCUGAGGCCAGCCCCAUCUGCUCAUUCUAUGCCUAAGGUCUUCUGGGUCUUGGUGAGGGAAGAGGGCAGCUCUCAGUGCUGCUGCUGCUGCUGCUGUUCGUAGGUUGGAAGGAUCUGGCGGAGGUUGCUUUUAAGCCUGGAGGCCUACUAGAGUGCAGUUCACUUACAGGUAUAAUGGACAGGGUCAUGUUUGAUAAAACCCAAGUUGGUUUCAUAUGGAAAAGCAAAUGGUAUCUUUCUGCAGCUCUGUCUAUGUGUGUACAGGCUUUAAAGGAUGACAGCCGGGACAGUGGGCUCCUGGAGGGUCAUUAGCGCUCGGGUCUCAGUAGUUCACUGGACUCUACAAACUGCAGCCCGGGAGCACAGACCAAGCAGCUGCUCCCUACUCCUCAAAAGGAUGGCAUGGAUUCUGUCACUGGGAAUAUGGGAGCUUGAGAUAGGGCCUUGCAAUGUAGUUCAAGCUGGUGGUAAACUCACAGCAAUCCUCCUGCCUUAGCCUCCGGUGUGCUGGGAUUUACAGGCAUGUACCACCACACCAUACUGUUGACCCUCUUUUACUGGAAUGAUCAGUUUUGUACCGGGUAUGUGGCAUAGUGUUUUGGUUAUCAGUAAUCCUUAGGAACAUUUUCAUACAUUGCCAGGGGGAGCGGGGAGUCAGCAUUUGUGGAACAAAGCAAAAGCGACAAUACCUCGGGAAGCUGUGUAGGUGUUCAGAGCUGGCAACGCAAGUCCCAGUUACAGAGGAAAACACCACUUACCC